UACAGAGGUGGCAAGCGUUGUUCGGAAUUACUGGGCGUAAAGGGCGCGUAGGCGGUCUUUUAAGUUCCGUGUGAAAUCCCUCGGCUCAACUGAGGAACCGCACGGGAAACUGGAAGGCUUGAGUUCGGGAGAGGGAAGCGGAAUUCCGGGUGUAGCGGUGAAAUGCGUAGAUAUCCGGAGGAACACCGGUGGCGAAGGCGGCUUCCUGGACCGACACUGACGCUGAGGCGCGAAAGCUAGGGGAGCAAACGGG
rnacentral:rRNA from 1 species